rnacentral:rRNA from 1 species
AACGAACGCUGGCGGCAGGCUUAACACAUGCAAGUCGAGCGCCCCGCAAGGGGAGCGGCAGACGGGUGAGUAACGCGUGGGAAUCUACCCAUCUCUACGGAAUAACGCAUGGAAACGUGUGCUAAUACCGUAUACGUCCUUGGGGAGAAAGAUUUAUCAGAGAUGGAUGAGCCCGCGUUGGAUUAGCUAGUUGGUGGGGUAAAGGCCUACCAAGGCGACGAUCCAUAGCUGGUCUGAGAGGAUGAUCAGCCACACUGGGACUGAGACACGGCCCAGACUCCUACGGGAGGCAGCAGUGGGGAAUAUUGGACAAUGGGCGCAAGCCUGAUCCAGCCAUGCCGCGUGAGUGAUGAAGGCCCUAGGGUUGUAAAGCUCUUUCACCGGUGAAGAUAAUGACGGUAACCGGAGAAGAAGCCCCGGCUAACUUCGUGCCAGCCGCCGCCGUAAAAC